CCUUCUUUUAAGUAUGUGCCAAGCUUGAAAUUGCAACACCAAACUAUCAAAAAGAGCCAAAAAAAAAAAAAUUACAAAGAGCCAAAAAAGUCAAAUGAACAAAAGAGCUGUGUUUACCGUCUUGUACUUCUGUUACUGAGAAAAAGAAGAUGGUGUGUUAAAAUCAUCUGAAAUGAAGCCAUGAAGAAAAUGUUAAUUAAAUGAAAGCAUCUGAAAUACAUCUGGCAGUUUAUCAAAUACAGUAUCCUGCUUUGUUAAAGAAGUCGUCCUCGAUUCCUUCAACCGUAAGAAAUUGCCUCAUCCACCCUAGCCUGAAUUGCUAUACUGCUUGAUCUAGACUUCUAGCCAGUCAUUUCUAGCUACCGUGAGUUAUAAUUAUUUAUAUAAAUGUUCUAAUUAGAUUAUCUACUAGGUGGUAAAGUUCUCCAAGGCAAGGCUUCUCAUUCAUUUUUGUUCGUACAACCUAAAAGAGCAUAGCACUAUUACUUAUUGGGUAAUAGUUCAAACUCUA
rnacentral:lncRNA from 1 species